rnacentral:rRNA from 1 species
GAUGAACGCUGGCGGCGUGCCUAAUACAUGCAAGUCGAGCGAACAGACGAGGAGCUUGCUCCUCUGACGUUAGCGGCGGACGGGUGAGUAACAUGUGGAUAACCUACCUAUAAGACUGGGAUAACUUCGGGAAACCGGAGCUAAUACCGGAUAAUAUAUUGAACCGCAUGGUUCAAUAGUGAAAGACGGUUUUGCUGUCACUUAUAGAUGGAUCCGCGCCGUAUUAGCUAGUUGGUAGGGUAACGGCUUACCAAGGCAACGAUGCGUAGCCGACCUGAGAGGGUGAUCGGCCACACUGGAACUGAGACACGGUCCAGACUCCUACGGGAGGCAGCAGUAGGGAAUCUUCCGCAAUGGGCGAAAGCCUGACGGAGCAACGCCGCGUGAGUGAUGAAGGUCUUCGGAUCGUAAAACUCUGUUAUUAGGGAAGAACAAAUGUGUAAGUAACUAUGCACGUCUUGACGGUACCUAAUCAGAAAGCCACGGCUAACUACGUG